AGUGAACGCUGGCGGUAGGCCUAACACAUGCAAGUCGAACGGCAGCACAGUAAGAGCUUGCUCUUACGGGUGGCGAGUGGCGGACGGGUGAGGAAUACAUCGGAAUCUACUUUUUCGUGGGGGAUAACGUAGGGAAACUUACGCUAAUACCGCAUACGACCUACGGGUGAAAGCAGGGGAUCUUCGGACCUUGCGCGAUUGAAUGAGCCGAUGUCGGAUUAGCUAGUUGGCGGGGUAAAGGCCCACCAAGGCGACGAUCCGUAGCUGGUCUGAGAGGAUGAUCAGCCACACUGCAACUGAGACACGGUCCAGACUCCUACGGGAGGCAGCAGUGGGGAAUAUUGGACAAUGGGCGCAAGCCUGAUCCAGCAAUACCGCGUGGGUGAAGAAGGCCUUCGGGUUGUAAAGCCCUUUUGUUGGGAAAGAAAAGCAGCAGGUUAAUACCCCGCUGUUCUGACGGUACCCAAAGAAUAAGCACCGGCUAACUUCGUG
rnacentral:rRNA from 1 species